AGCAGUGCAAGACUGGCUAACGGUUUUCAGAUUUUGAAAACUGAGGAAAGUCCUCCCAUUCGCAAUAAAUCCUGCAAAGGAAAACCUGUGAAGGUUUCCUCUGGAGCAGAAACGAACCUAGUUCAAUCAAUAACCUGUGAUUCAAAAAUGAGGGAUUGAAAAAAGGAUGAAACGGCUGGAGGUAAAACUUUUUUGGCCACCAAGCAAAAUCAAAGAUUUUGCGGGUUUCACAAAAUUAAGGUUUUGUGAAAAGCUUUUGGGCGAAGCCAAAAAGGUUGUUGAAUGCAAGCCUUGAAGGCGCUUAGACAAAUGCCAGUUGCUUUUUACAGCAAUGUAAAAAGAAGAGCAAACGCAGUUCACUACUGCAGAAAUCCAACAAGUGAUUUCGUUGCUAAAACAGAAGGAGGCUUACUCUGCACUGCU
rnacentral:RNase_P_RNA from 1 species